GACGAACGCUGGCGGCGUGCUUAACACAUGCAAGUCGAACGGAAAGGCCCUGCUUUUGUGGGGUGCUCGAGUGGCGAACGGGUGAGUAACACGUGAGUAACCUGCCCUUGACUUUGGGAUAACUUCAGGAAACUGGGGCUAAUACCGGAUAGGAGCUCCUGCUGCAUGGUGGGGGUUGGAAAGUUUCGGCGGUUGGGGAUGGACUCGCGGCUUAUCAGCUUGUUGGUGGGGUAGUGGCUUACCAAGGCUUUGACGGGUAGCCGGCCUGAGAGGGUGACCGGCCACAUUGGGACUGAGAUACGGCCCAGACUCCUACGGGAGGCAGCAGUGGGGAGUAUUGCACAAUGGGCGGAAGCCUGAUGCAGAAACGCCGCGUGCGGGAUGACGGCCUUCGGGUUGUAAACCGCUUUCGCCUGUGACGAAGCGUGAGUGACGGUAAUGGGUAAAGAAGCACCGGCUAACUACGUG
rnacentral:rRNA from 1 species